CAUUAUACCAGGUAUACUCAAUUCCUGCCCUCACGUAUGUUUUCUUAUCUUUGGAAGAGGAUUGCUCUCCUUGGCCAUUUAUCUCACAGAAGCUUAUUUGUUUUUAAAAUUUCCAAAACAGUAUACAAAUUAAAACUUUUGACGUCUGCGUAUAGGAAUCCCGUUCUGCUUCCCGAAGUGGAAGUGCUCAUGGAUCGGGGAAAUCUGCACGGCACACACCUGCAAGGUCUCGCUCCAAGGAAGAUUCAAGACGUUCUAGAUCAAAGUCAAGAUCCAGAUCUGAAUCUAGGUCUAGAUCCAGAAGAAGUUCUAGAAGGCAUUAUACAAGGUCACGAUCACGAUCUCGCUCUCAUAGACGAUCCCGGAGCAGGUCUUACAGCCGAGAC
rnacentral:lncRNA from 1 species